AUGAAUAACACUCCCAGAGGUGCUCCAGUGUCUGGCGUCUAUUAUCCCUUAAAAGGCCCUUCAAAAAGGACACUAUUCUUCUCCCAUGGCCACCCCAGAGGAAUCCAGGUGGAUUCUCAAGCACUUGGGAGUCACAGUCAUCUCAAACAACCACAGUCACAGGAGACGGAAGAAAGAUGUGAUUGGCCGCUGAGUGGGGAGCAGAGGCCCCACUCUGUACAUUUGUGCCUGCAGUGUCUCCUGCUUGGAAGGUCCUUCCCUUUCUUCUCGUCUACUUUACUGCCUUGAAAGACACACAGUGUGGUGGUGAAGAACACAGGCCCCCAAGUCAGACUUUCUGGCUCCACAUCCUGCCUCUACCAGUUACUAGCUCUGACCUGUGCCGAGUUUCUCAACCUUUUCAUGCUAUGAUUUUCUCAUCUGUGUAAAAGAGGGAUUGGAAGCAGACUCUAUCUCGAAGGGCUGUGGAGAGGAGUGAAUGUGUAAAGUAUAUAAAAGGCUUGCACAGGAUUUGGACCAGAGCAUGUGGUAUGUAAGUGUUUACUAUUAUUAUUGUUCUCAAAGGCUCAGCACUUGUUUCCUUCCUAGCAGGAAACCAUUCUCAAUUAUCCCUCAUCUUUGCUCCUCUCUCCUGCUCCCAUUUACCUCUUUUAAUGCUCAUUAUGCCAUCUAAAUUGGCACCUAAUUAUAUUGCCUCACAUUAUCUCACCACCUAUCAUACAUGCAAGCAUAAUGCUGACUUUCUGAGGGCAGGCACCAUGCCUUUCACUCCUUUGUGCCCGCACAGAGGCAUUGCGUGGGCAGAUUUGGGUCAGGAAUGCAGGUGUGAGGGGCUCCAUGUCUGUGUUCGUCUCUGCCCCUUAUUGCAGAGGUGAGUGAGAUGCAGCAGGAAGCCAGGGGCCCAGCAGUUUCUCCCCUCCAGCACCUUGGAUAAGGGGGAGAUGGAGUGCCUCCCUUGCUCUUAGCUGCUCUUUAUAUUCCCCAGAAGUUCCUCUGCCAAAAUUUAGAGCCAACCGUUUUAGAAACUCUCGGCAAGCACCAGGGCCCUAAGGGCAGCAAUGCUCUGCACUUCCCCUGCUCCCCGGGGAGCCUCUGAGCUCAUCUCAGUAAAACUUUAAUGCCU
rnacentral:lncRNA from 1 species